rnacentral:rRNA from 1 species
UACGUAGGUGGCUAGCGUUGUCCGGAUUUACUGGGCGUAAAGCGCGCGCAGGCGGUCGUCCAAGUCGAGUGUGAAAGCCCCCGGCUCAACUGGGGAGGGUCACUCGAUACUGAUCGACUUGAAGGCAGAAGAGGGAAGCGGAAUUCCCGGUGUAGUGGUGAAAUGCGUAGAUAUCGGGAGGAACACCAGUGGCGAAGGCGGCUUUCUGGUCUGUUCUUGACGCUGAGGCGCGAAAGCUAGGGUAGCAAACGGG